rnacentral:rRNA from 1 species
AUUGAACGCUGGCGGCAGGCCUAACACAUGCCAGUCGAACGAGUGGCGGACGGGUGGGUAAUGCUUGGGCAUCUUGCUUAUGGAGGGGGAUAACUACUGGACACGGUGGCUAAUACCGCAUACUAACGUCUGAACUCAUAUGGGAUUAGCUAGUAGGUGGGGUAAAGGCUCACCUAGGCGAAGAUCUAUAGCUGGUCUGAGAGGCUGAUCAGCCACACUGGGACUGCGACACGGCCCAGACUCCUACGGGAGGCAGCAGUGGGGAAUAUUGCACAAUGGGCGAAAGCCUGAUGCAGCCAUGCCGCGUGUAUGAAGAAGGCCUUAGGGUUGUAAAGCACUUUCGGCGGGGAGGCGUUACCCGCAGAAGAAGCACCGGCUAACUCCGUGCCAGCAGCCGCGGUAAUAC